rnacentral:rRNA from 1 species
AGGAUUGGAUGGGCGAAAGCCUGAUCAGCCUGCCGCGUGUGUGAAGAAGGCCUUUUGGUUGUAAAGCACUUUAAGCGAGGAGGAGGCUACUUAGAUUAAUACUCUAGGAUAGUGGACGUUACUCGCAGAAUAAGCACCGGCUAACUCUGUGCCAGCAGCCGCGGUAAUACAGAGGGUGCGAGCGUUAAUCGGAUUUACUGGGCGUAAAGCGUGCGUAGGCGGCUUCUUAAGUCGGAUGUGAAAUCCCUGAGCUUAACUUAGGAAUUGCAUUCGAUACUGGGAAGCUAGAGUAUGGGAGAGGAUGGUAGAAUUCCAGGUGUAGCGGUGAAAUGCGUAGAGAUCUGGAGGAAUACCGAUGGCGAAGGCAGCCAUCUGGCCUAAUACUGACGCUGAGGUACGAAAGCAUGGG